rnacentral:sRNA from 1 species
ACCGCCACGGAUGGCGGUGUUUCUAAACAGCAGCAAGUUUUUCACUAGAAAAACUUGUCGUUGAAAAGCGUACACGGAAGUACGCUUUUCAACAGGC